UAAGCAACAAUACAAAGCACAACAUUGCAUGCGGUGGUGAGGAACACGCGCGAGCAUCGCAAUAAACCAUAAGAAAUUACGAAGUUGAACAUCGUAAAAGUGAAGUAAUCAAGGUAUCAAGUUAAAACGGUAAUGCUCGCCCACUAAAAGAGAGACAUUUGUAAAAUAAACUUGACAUCUGGCGUGUUUUUGUUUCUUUUCCUUCUUUUAUCCUUCAGUUCGAAGCGAAUACUUAGAUAUAAUAAUAACUAGCAAUACACAGUUAUAUCUGCGGUAGACCAGUUUAUUGCCUAAAUAUUAAUCUUGUUGAUUGCUAAAUAUUUCUUGUAAACACGUCAGUAGUCUUCAGUUCCAUAUAAGACUUGAUAACUUACAUGACAGAACCACUACUAUCUGUUAUAUACAAUAAACUAUGAAGGAA